GGAUAUGGCCAUACCACCUUAAACACAACUGGACUUGUGUAAUCUUGGAAGGUACAUAAAGUCAGGCUUACUGAGUACUUGGGUGGGAGAAUUUAUAUAUACAUGUCAC
ensembl:rRNA predicted gene, 25885